rnacentral:rRNA from 1 species
CUAAGAGAUUAGGCGUUCCCUUCGGGGACGGAAUGACAGGUGGUGCAUGGUUGUCGUCAGCUCGUGUCGUGAGAUGUUGGGUUAAGUCCCGCAACGAGCGCAACCCUUAUUGUCAGUUGCCAGCAUUUAGUUGGGCACUCUGGCGAGACUGCCGGUGACAAACCGGAGGAAGGUGGGGAUGACGUCAAAUCAUCAUGCCCCUUAUGACCUGGGCUACACACGUGCUACAAUGGACGGUACAACGAGUCGCGAAACCGCGAGGUCAAGCUAAUCUCUUAAAGCCGUUCUCAGUUCGGAUUGUAGGCUGCAACUCGCCUACAUGAAGUUGGAAUCGCUAGUAAUCGUGGAUCACCAUGCCACGGUGAAAACUUUCCCGGUUCUUGUACACCCCGAAAUCGAAUUUUCCGGGGGCC